GAUAAUUGGAUGGCCGAAGACACUCGUUUACAAUUGGACUACUACAUUAAUGUUUGCAGCGGUUAUUAUCCGGGCAAUGUAAAAUAUCAGUGCGCAGAUUCUGCUCGCAUUGGUGGAUGUCAAGUGGACAGCCUAAAUAACAAAGCUCACAAUAUGGGAUACCUUAUGAGCGGUCCUGUUGUUUCCUCUGCGGGUCAUCUCACGUUACGUUAUGUCGGAGGAGAGAAAUGUCACCACAGAUAUGAUCGUAGCACGAGGAUUAACUUUUUCUGCUCACACGUUCAUGUAAGUAUUAUGUAUUGAAUGAGACGGUUGUCAGGGAG